GUUUUAUUGGUGGAGGAAGCCAGAAUGCCCGGAAUAAAUCACAGACCUUCGAUAAGAAAACUGACGAUCCUAGUCAAUUAAGAUUGGAGUAGAGUGCGUUUGCACGUGCGGGGUUCGAAAUCACAACCUCAUUAUUGAUUGGCUAGUGAUUAUAGGAAUAGAACUUCUUAGACCAAUUGGUCACCGAGGACCCGUAGAGCAAU
rnacentral:lncRNA from 1 species